rnacentral:rRNA from 1 species
GAACGGAGCACGGAAGACAGCUAAGCACCGAAGCAGGGGUUAGCCACUCCUCCCGCUGCUAACCCACUCUUGGGAUCGUAGGUGAGGGGUAGCAACAAGGAGAGAACGUCGGACGGAGUGAUGACGACGAGAGCGGCGGCUCGAGCGGGCGACGGCGACGGCGGCGUAGUAGAAGAGGAGGACCCUUGGGAUCUCGCAGAUGAGAGGACCGACAAGCAUAGAACCGAGCGGUGUUUUUUACCCGUGCCCACCCAUCCUGCUCCGGUACCGAUCCCAAAGUCCGACCCGUAGCGGAAGCAGCGGCCGCGCCGAGGCCACCUGAGGCCACCGAGGAGAGGCAGAGGAAAAGGCAGUGGUGCGCGCCGAGGCGAAGGGCGGCCGGUACCCCACGUCGGAAUGUCCCCGCGUAGCCCGACCCGUAGGAGAUAAAGACUCACGUACCCCGCCAAACUCCGCGUGAACACCUUGUUCUUGUGGACCUGUCUUGGCGUCUCCUUCUUCUACCGAACCAACUACGUUAGGCACAUAGGGAGUGUAUAGGUGAACCUUGAGUACGAGGUCUGGUAGUUUACUAUUGGUACGAGCCGUAGGUGUACUUGUUAAACAAAGUUACUGGUGGGUCCAUUAAGUCUACGAGGUAAACCAAGAACCUAUAAGAGGGACGACGAGUAAAGUGUUGAUGCAGUUAGACAACAAAAGUUUGUCAUUCCCUCUUUCGAUGACUAUGUCAUAUAUAACCUGUAACUUAACCACGAGGUACCUCGGUCCCGUGGUACUAAAUACGUGUUUAGGUUUGGUUUAAACUAAUAUCAAAAAAAACCUUUAAAAUCGAGACCCCAUAUUAUGGACUAAUAAUAUCUUAAGUUCAUGAGAUGUAGAUCCUAUAACGACACAUAUAGAUAAAGACGUAUGGUAUGACGAACAUAUAUUUUAGUUGUAUAUAGACGUCAGUUUGUUAGUAAUCUUUUUCAUUGACGUUAAACCGAAAUCAUGUUUAUAAAGUGUAUAUACACGGAAUCAAGAUACAUUACGAAACAACAAGAGAUUCCAUAGGAGGAUAGAAACUACCUUCAUCAUCGUAAAAAGACCGUCACGACGAACAAUUAGUUACAUUUAGGAUCUCUUAGUACAUUAAUUCCUAUCGGAAACAAUAACAUUAGCAUCUAACUAGGAUUAACCCUAGGACAUGUAGACCUACAUUAGAACUACUACUUCAUAGUAGUUCAUAUAUAAGUACCGUUCCGGGUUCCCCAUUUAGUGCUGUUGGUUAGUACAAAUUGAGACGAAAGAGAACGGAAGCCGCCGGGGUGCACACAGCACGAGCACCUGCACACACGCAGGACUAGCACCGGCCGAGAACGACGAUAAAAACGACACACAGCACAACGAUGACGACAACUAACGGCCGACAACGCGUACAGAACGAACACCGGCCGGGACCGACGAGUACAGGAUGUUAAAGACGAUAACAAUCAAAAACGAACGAAGCCAAAAAGAAAAACCUUUAAUACAUAUCUUAUACAGAAGACAACAUAUGUUGAAAUAAGAAAGUUUCUUUUAUUGAUUUGUCAUACACAAAGAUGGGAGUGGAAAAAAUAGACAAGUUUAGGAUAAAAUGAACCUUAAUAAACUUUAAGACCCAGUGAAAUAGACAACCACGUCGUCGAACGUAGAUGUUCUUAUCCAAUAGUUUCUUUGACUUAGACCUUCCAAUUCUGUAAUCUGUAGAUAACUGUCCAUGGUUGUACAGUAGAAACAGGCACACAUGGGCUGCAACUAGACUAAACUUCAACCAAAUAAGUUAAGAAAUCAUCACUACGUAUGUCUAUACUACCUUUAUGAGCUUUCAUCGUGAACAAAUACACUCCAAAUCACACAUUGGCGAGUUCAAAAUUAUAUACGUAGUGAUGAUAUCAGGAAACAAUAGGGUCGGAGCCGGCUAGCCCAGCGUCAACAAAGAAAGACAUACUGAUAACAAAGUUGUACACACACAACGUCGGUACUAGUUCUCGGCCGACGUGUACGUCGUCUCUGUAUCUUAAUAUAAAUGACGGACAUCAUCUGCGUAGGUUCAACCUGAACGCAUCUUCCUAACUCUGAUUAAAAUACAAGGGUACAUCAUCGCUAAGGAACCAUAAAUCUACUACGGUUAUAACAUAUAGUCAUUAGGUAGACCACAAAAGGGGAAUGUAAACACGUAAGAUGUUUCCACAAGUUAAAAAGUCGAAGUUAUUAAGAUAAAGAAAAACGAGUAAAACAAGGAUGCCCAGUACUUGAUAGGGGAAGAACGGUAGUUACGGGGCCCGUAACAAUCAUGUCUUCAUGGGCGAGGAUGGAAUAAGUGUAAAUUCAAAGUAGAAAAGGUAACUAAAUAAUCAUUUGAUAUAAAAGAUUAACUUGAUAUCGGACAGUUUUAUUAAUAUCGUUCCAGCACACAUGUAAACAUGGUUGUUCGCUUAGGUGAUAGUUUACGUAACACGUUAUUAUGUAUUUAUCCAUUUAUCUACGACUAAGCCUGUGAAUACUUUGAGUUUAGUGUUUAAAUCCUACUUACCUCGUUUGUAGUUACUGGCGUAUACCUAGUUACUGCUACUUCCACAAUUAAGGGCGGAGAUAAACAAUACUGACGAAUACCUAGCUUUAGACAACCUAAUCAUAUAUCGUGUGCAACAGUAAGGAACGAAUUAUCUGUGCGUGACGAGAAAAACAGUACCGACGAGACGUCAUUUACGUGCUACAAAGUGAAAUCGGACUCAGAAGACAAGCCAUUAACAACAAAGAGGGACUUUGUUUUGACUGUGACAUUAGGUUUGUAGGUCGACCCAUGACUGUUCUUCAUGGUUAAAUCCUCCUGUCACUCUCUCGAGUCUCCAUUAUUGUGUCAACUACUUGUAUAAACCACGGAAGACCACGUUUGUCACCUUCAGAAAAUCACUCGUAUAUAAGUACAGUUUGAAGAUACGAUGAAUGAGAAACUAGCGGACAAGGGGAAGAAGGAAUCAACAUCCCGAGCCGUACUUCUUGUGUAACCUCCUGGUAAAUGCUACGGAAGACCACGUUUAUCACCUUCAGAAAAUCAUUUAUAUAUAAGUACACUUUGACUUUAAAUCUGUUGUAAUCUACUUGUAAUAACAUGACUUAGAAGUGACAUAACAAUGAGACAUACUUGCAUAUACGAUUUGGUCCUAAUGAUG